rnacentral:rRNA from 1 species
UUGAGCAUCAAACUUUUAAAUUGAAGAGUUUGAUCAUGGCUCAGAUUGAACGCUGGCGGCAGGCCUAACACAUGCAAGUCGAACGGUAACAGGAAGCAGCUUGCU